AACGAACGCUGGCGGCAUGCCUAACACAUGCAAGUCGAACGAGAUCUUCGGGUCUAGUGGCGCACGGGUGCGUAACGCGUGGGAAUCUGCCCUUUGGUUCGGAAUAACAGUUGGAAACGACUGCUAAUACCGGAUGAUGACGAAAGUCCAAAGAUUUAUCGCCAGAGGAUGAGCCCGCGUAGGAUUAGCUAGUUGGUGUGGUACAGGCGCACCAAGGCGACGAUCCUUAGCUGGUCUGAGAGGAUGAUCAGCCACACUGGGACUGAGACACGGCCCAGACUCCUACGGGAGGAAGCAGUGGGGAAUAUUGGACAAUGGGCGAAAGCCUGAUCCCGCAUAGCCGCGUGAGUGAUGAAGGCCUUAGGGUUGUAAAGCUCUUUUACCCGGGAUGAUAAUGACAGUACCGGGAGAAUAAGCUCCGGCUAACUCCGUGCCAGCAGCCGCCGUAA
rnacentral:rRNA from 1 species